CAAAAGUUCCCCUGCACCAACAGUCUCAUCUCCCCCUCCUGCUAUACCCCCUGAAUCAUCAGCUCACUCUCCAUCUUCACCUUCUCCGAAAUCUCCAUCACCAAUUGCAAAACCUCCAUCUUCUUCUGCUCAUGUCCCUGCAGUUUCCCCUGCUUCUCCUUCACCUAUCGCCAAGGCUCCAUCUUCUUCUGCUCAUGUUCCUGCAGUUUCCCCUGCUUCUCCUUCACCUUUCGUCGAGGCUCCAUCUUUGGCUCCAACACCAGCACUGUCUCCUAAAUCUCCAAAAGCCAAGACACCAUCUUUCGCUCCAUCUCCAUUUACAACGUCACCAACCUCAUCUCCUACAAAGGCACCUUCACCAUCUGCAGUAGCUCAUGCACCGAUUUCUCCAUCUCCAUCACCAGCAGCGGUAGAGGAGCCUGUUAGUUCUCCAAGCCCUGUGGCAGUAGAGGAGCCAGUUAGUUCUCCAAGCCCAGC
rnacentral:lncRNA from 1 species